rnacentral:rRNA from 1 species
AGAGUUUGAUCAUGGCUCAGGAUGAACGCUAGCGGCAGGCCUAACACAUGCAAGUCGAGGGGCAGCACGGUGUAGCAAUACACUGGUGGCGACCGGCGCACGGGUGCGUAACGCGUGGGUAACCUGCCUCAUACAGGGGGAUAACAGUUAGAAAUGACUGCUAAUACCGCAUAAGACCACAGCACCGCAUGGUGCAGGGGUAAAAACUCCGGUGGUAUGAGAUGGACCCGCGUCUGAUUAGGUAGUUGGUGGGGUAACGGCCUACCAAGCCGACGAUCAGUAGCCGACCUGAGAGGGUGACCGGCCACAUUGGGACUGAGACACGGCCCAAACUCCUACGGGAGGCAGCA